rnacentral:rRNA from 1 species
AUUCCAGCUCCAAUAGCGUAUAUUAAAGUUGUUGCAGUUAAAAAGCUCGUAGUUGGAUUUCUGGCAUGAUGCGCCUGGCCCGCUCCGAUUACGGAUGUGUGUGCUAGUGCGCGUCUGCCAUCCAUUUACAGAAUGUAUCUACCCUUCAUUGGGCCGGAUAUGUGAUGUAAAUCUUUUACUUUGAGAAAAUUAGAGUGUUUAAAGCAGGCAUUUGCUAUGAAUACAUUAGCAUGGAAUAAUAAUCUAGGACUUCGGUUUUAUUUUGUUGGUUUCUAAAUCUGGAGUAAUGAUUGAUAGGGAUAGUUGGGGGUGCUAGUAUUUAGGGGCCAGAGGUGAAAUUCUUGGAUUCUCUAAAGACUAACUUAUGCGAAAGCAUUCACCAAGGAUGUCUUCAUCA